GAGCACAACAUAAUUAUCAAUGCACAAUUUAUACUAUUAAAUAACAAUUUAAUUCGUACAAUUGAAAAUAUGUUCAACGAAUGCCUUGCCGUGACACAAAAGAAAUUCGAAAUCGAUACGAAAAAAAUCGAAAAUGUAAAGAACUAUAAAAGCAAUUAAAUUGAAAAAUUUUUUAUAAGUCAAUACCAUAUUUUGUCGGUCAAAUUUAGGUCUGCAUUUUAUUUGUGAACCCGCAAAAAUUUCUUAUGACGAAGAGUUUAAUAGAAAAUAAUACUUGGGAAAUUGUUGAUUUGACGUAUAAAGAAUAUUUGCAUACAACAAAAUGGAUUUUUAAGCUAAAAGAGUUAUGCGAUGAAGUUCACUCGGGUAUUUAUUUUCAAUAGCCGAUGAGUUUAAUCUUCGGAUGAAUCACGUAGAUGUAGAGCCGCCUAUUUAAAUUUUAUAAAUAUUGUAUAUAAAAUUUCCUGAAGUUUUAAAGUUAAACAGACCAAUAUAUUUCCUAAAACAAAUGUUAAGAACAUAGAAACAAUUUUCUAUACAACUGCAAUUAAGUUUUGUGAAUAUAAUAUUCAAUUUCAUCGCGGACUCAAAAUUAUUAA